rnacentral:hammerhead_ribozyme from 1 species
AUCCAGCUGAUGAGUCCUAAAUAGGACGAAUGCGCGCGUCCUGGAA